rnacentral:rRNA from 1 species
UGGGACGCAAGGGAACACACUGUGCUUGCACACCGUGUUUUCUUGAGUCGCGAACGGGUGAGUAACGCGUAGGUAACCUGCCUAUUAGCGGGGGAUAACUAUUGGAAACGAUAGCUAAUACCGCAUAAUAUUAAUUAUUGCAUGAUAAUUGAUUGAAAGAUGCAAGCGCAUCACUAGUAGAUGGACCUGCGUUGUAUUAGCUAGUUGGUAAGGUAAGAGCUUACCAAGGCGACGAUACAUAGCCGACCUGAGAGGGUGAUCGGCCACACUGGGACUGAGACACGGCCCAGACUCCUACGGGAGGCAGCAGUAGGGAAUCUUCGGCAAUGGACGAAAGUCUGACCGAGCAACGCCGCGUGAGUGAAGAAGGUUUUCGGAUCGUAAAGCUCUGUUGUAAGUCAAGAACGUGUGUGAGAGUGGAAAGUUCACACAGUGACGGUAGCUUACCAGAAAGGGACGGCUAACUAC